CAACACUCAAGCUCUGCUUGGUAUUGGGCCCUGCCGGUAACGGCGGGCCCUAAAAUCAGUGGCGGCGCCACCUGGCUCUAAGCGUAGUAAUACUCCUCGCUAUAGAGUUCCCGGUUGGAUGCUUGCCAGCAACCCCCAACUUUCUAA
rnacentral:misc_RNA from 1 species